GAUGAAGAACGUAGCGAAAUGCGAUACUUGGUGUGAAUUGCAGAAUCCCAUGAACCAUCGAGUCUUUGAACGCAAGUUGCGCCUCAAGCCAUUAGGUUGAGGGCACGUCUGCCUGGGCGUCACAUAUCGUUGCCUGAUGCCAGUUUCCUCGUGAUGGGUGACUGUGCAGGGCGAAUGAUGGCUUCCCGUGAGCAUUGUUGCCUCAUGGUUGGUUGAAAAUUGAGUCCUUGGUAGGGAGCGCCGUGAUAGAUGGUGGUUGAGUGACGAACGAGACCCAAUCAUGUGAGACCCCUACCGAAUUUGGCCUUCAUGACCCACAUGCGUCUUUGGAACACUCAUGACGAGACCUCAGGUCAGGCGGGGCUACCCGCUGAGUUUAAGCAUAUCAAUAAGCGGAGGA
rnacentral:misc_RNA from 1 species